UUGAAUACGAAUCGGUUCUGAUGCUGGCCCUUCACCGGGCAUGUGCUCGCUCCGAAUCUAUUUAUCUUCUCUUGUGCACCUCUUGUAGUCUUUGAAAAAGUGAACCUCUCGCAGCAAUGCGGUCUGGGGGACUGGGUCAAACCUUCCCCUGCUUGCUUUCUUCUUGGCUAUGUUUUCAUAUACACUAUAAAGUUACAGAAUGUCUUUUAACGAUUGUCGCUCGCGCGCAGUCAUUAAACCUAUA
rnacentral:misc_RNA from 1 species